rnacentral:tRNA from 1 species
AGCUUGAAAUAAGUAUUUCAUUUACAUUGAAAUGAUAUUGUAAUUAACAAUUAAUUUGA